AACGCUGGCGGCAGGCUUAACACAUGCAAGUCGAGCGGGCGUAGCAAUACGUCAGCGGCAGACGGGUGAGUAACGCGUGGGAACGUACCUUUUGGUUCGGAACAACACAGGGAAACUUGUGCUAAUACCGGAUAAGCCCUUACGGGGAAAGAUUUAUCGCCGAAAGAUCGGCCCGCGUCUGAUUAGCUAGUUGGUAGGGUAAUGGCCUACCAAGGCGACGAUCAGUAGCUGGUCUGAGAGGAUGAUCAGCCACAUUGGGACUGAGACACGGCCCAAACUCCUACGGGAGGCAGCAGUGGGGAAUAUUGGACAAUGGGGGCAACCCUGAUCCAGCCAUGCCGCGUGAGUGAUGAAGGCCCUAGGGUUGUAAAGCUCUUUUGUGCGGGAAGAUAAUGACGGUACCGCAAGAAUAAGCCCCGGCUAACUUCGUGCCAGCAGCCGCGGUAAUACGAAGGGGGCUAGCGUUGCUCGGAAUCACUGGGCGUAAAGGGUGCGUAGGCGGGUCUUUAAGUCAGGGGUGAAAUCCUGGAGCUCAACUCCAGAACUGCCUUUGAUACUGAAGAUCUUGAGUCCGGGAGAGGUGAGUGGAACUGCGAGUGUAGAGGUGAAAUUCGUAGAUAUUCGCAAGAACACCAGUGGCGAAGG
rnacentral:rRNA from 1 species